rnacentral:rRNA from 1 species
GAUCCUGGCUCAGGAUGAACGCUAGCGACAGGCCUAACACAUGCAAGUCGAGGGGCAGCGGAGAGGUAGCAAUACCUUUGCCGGCGACCGGCGCACGGGUGAGUAACACGUAUGCAAUCCACCUGUAACAGGGGGAUAACCCGGAGGAAAUCCGGACUAAUACCCCAUAAUAUGGGCGCUCCGCAUGGAGAGCCCAUUAAAGAGAGCAAUUUUGGUUACAGACGAGCAUGCGCUCCAUUAG